UACGAAGGGGGCUAGCGUUGUUCGGAUUUACUGGGCGUAAAGCGCACGUAGGCGGAUCGUUAAGUCGGGGGUGAAAUCCUGGAGCUCAACUCCAGAACUGCCUUCGAUACUGGCGAUCUUGAGUCCGAAAGAGGUGAGUGGAACUCCUAGUGUAGAGGUGGAAUUCGUAGAUAUCAUUUGGAACGCCAAUGGUGAAAACAGGUAGCUGGGGCUGUGCUGACACUGAGACACGAAAGCCAGGGGAGCAAACGGG
rnacentral:rRNA from 1 species